ensembl:snRNA U6 U6 spliceosomal RNA
GUGUGCAUUUUGGCAGCACACAUACUGACAUGGGAGCAGUGCAGAGAUGCUCAGCAUGGCCCCUGCACAAGGACGACAUGCAAAUUUGUGAGAUUUGUGAGGCAUUCUAUAUUUUU